rnacentral:rRNA from 1 species
AUUGAACGCUGGCGGCAUGCCUAAUACAUGCAAGUCGAACGAGUGGCGGACGGGUGAGUAAUGUCUGGGAAACUGCCUGAUGGAGGGGGAUAACUACUGGAAACGGUAGCUAAUACCGCAUACCAUCGGAUGUGCCCAGAUGGGAGUAGCUAGUAGGUGGGGUAAAGGCUCACCUAGGCGACGAUCCCUAGCUGGUCUGAGAGGGUGACCAGCCACACGGGGACUGAGACACGGUCCAGACUCCUACGGGAGGCAGCAGUGGGGAAUAUUGCACAAUGGACGCAAGCCUGAUGCAGCCAUGCCGCGUGUAUGAAGAAGGCUUUCGGGUUGUAAAGUACUUUCAGCGGGGAGGCGUUACCCGCAGAGGAAGCCCCGGCUAACUCCGUGCCAGCAGCCGCGGUAAUAC